GCCUGGGUGGCUUAGUCGGUUAAACGUCUGACUUCAGCUCAGGUCAUGAUCGCAUGGUAUGUGGGUUCGAGCCCCACGUCGGGCU
rfam:Felis catus isolate Cinnamon breed Abyssinian chromosome A2, whole genome shotgun sequence.